rnacentral:rRNA from 1 species
AUCCCGCCCUCAAUCCCCAAUCACAAUCAUGGUUGACCUCGGAUCAGGUAGGGAUACCCGCUGAACUUAAGCAUAUCAAUAAGCGGAGGAAAAGAAACCAACAGGGAUUGCCUCAGUAACUGCGAGUGAAGCGGCAAAAGCUCAAAUUUGAAAUCUGGCUCCUUCGGGGUCCGAGUUGUAAUUUGGAGGGGCAUCUUCGGGAUCGGCGCCGUCCUAAGUUCCUUGGAACAGGACGUCACAGAGGGUGAGAAUCCCGUGCCUGGGCGGCUGCCCGAUUCCAUGUGAAGUGCCUCCGACGAGUCGAGUUGUUUGGGAAUGCAGCUCAAAAUGGGUGGUAAAUUUCAUCUAAAGCUAAAUAUUGGCGAGAGACCGAUAGCGCACAAGUAGAGUGAUCGAAAGAUGAAAAGCACUUUGAAAAGAGAGUUAAAAAGUACGUGAAAUUGUUGAAAGGGAAGCGCUUGCGACCAGACUCGGUCUUUGGGGGUCAUCCGGGUUUCGGCCUGGUGCCAUCCCCAUUGAUCGGGCCAGCAUCGGUUCCGGCGGCGGGAUAAAAGGCGAGGGAAUGUGGCUCUCUUCGGGG